rnacentral:rRNA from 1 species
AUUGAACGCUGGCGGCAUGCCUUACACAUGCAAGUCGAACGGCAGCACAGGGGCAACCCUGGUGGCGAGUGGCGAACGGGUGAGUAAUGCAUCGGAACGUGCCCAGUAGUGGGGGAUAACCAGUCGAAAGACUGGCUAAUACCGCAUACGACCUACGGGUGAAAGCGGGGGACCGUAAGGCCUCGCGCUAUUGGAGCGGCCGAUGUCUGAUUAGCUAGUUGGCGGGGUAAGAGCCCACCAAGGCGACGAUCAGUAGCUGGUCUGAGAGGACGACCAGCCACACUGGGACUGAGACACGGCCCAGACUCCUACGGGAGGCAGCAGUGAGGAAUUUUGGACAAUGGGCGCAAGCCUGAUCCAGCCAUGCCGCGUGCGGGAAGAAGGCCUUCGGGUUGUAAACCGCUUUUGGCAGGAACGAAACGGCGCAAGCCAAUACCUUGCGCUAAUGACGGUACCUGCAGAAUAAGCACCGGCUAACUACGUGCCAGCAGCCGCCGUAACAC